UCAUUUAAAGAAAGCGUAAUAGCUCACUGGUCGAGUCGGCCUGCGCGGAAGAUGUAACGGGGCUAAACCAUGCACCGAAGCUGCGGCAGCGACACUAUGUGUUGUUGGGUAGGGGAGCGUUCUGUAAGCCUGUGAAGGUGUGCUGUGAGGCAUGCUGGAGGUAUCAGAAGUGCGAAUGCUGACAUAAGUAACGAUAAAGCGGGUGAAAAGCCCGCUCGCCGGAAGACCAAGGGUUCCUGUCCAACGUUAAUCGGGGCAGGGUGAGUCGACCCCUAAGGCGAGGCCGAAAGGCGUAGUCGAUGGGAAACAGGUUAAUAUUCCUGUACUUGGUGUUACUGCGAAGGGGGGACGGAGAAGGCUAUGUUGGCCGGGCGACGGUUGUCCCGGUUUAAGCGUGUAGGCUGG
rnacentral:rRNA from 1 species